UACGGAGGUCCCAAGCGUUGUUCGGAUUCACUGGGCGUAAAGGGUGCGUAGGCGGUCGGGUAAGUCUGAUGUGAAAUCUCACAGCUUAACUGUGAAACUGCAUUGGAUACUAUUCGGCUUGAGAGUUGGAGGGGGGACUGGAAUUCUUGGUGUAGCAGUGAAAUGCGUAGAUAUGUGGAGGAACACCAGUGGCGAAGGCGGCUUUCUGGCCUGUAACUGACGCUGAGGCGCGAAAGCGUGGGGAGCAAACAGG
rnacentral:rRNA from 1 species